rnacentral:lncRNA from 1 species
UUGCUUUGGGGCUCUAUGUUGUAGAUGCUCUGAUAUCCUUUCUGUAAAAUAACACUGUGCAAACUGUAAAAUAUUCAUUUUCAUAUAAAGUCCAUACAAUAUGAUAUACAAAACCAUUGAGUUGACAGGGGAGGUCGGUGCUGGCUGCUUUUUGGAGAGAAAGCUGCAUUGUUGCCUGCCUGUCCAAAGAUAUGAUUCCAUUUUCUUGGUGGGCAAGGCCAUUAUCUAAGA